rnacentral:pre_miRNA from 1 species
CGCGUAAGACCUCGCGACAUCUUCUCUUCGGUAGAUCCGAACAUCUCCACCCUUCCAGUAAGCGGUGAUAUGUCGCGAUUUACCGAAGGGAGAUCGUGAGGCAACUACCACCGUG